rnacentral:rRNA from 1 species
AGUGAACGCUGGCGGUAGGCCUAACACAUGCAAGUCGAACGGCAGCACAGAGGAGCUUGCUCCUUGGGUGGCGAGUGGCGGACGGGUGAGGAAUACAUCGGAAUCUACUCUGUCGUGGGGGAUAACGUAGGGAAACUUGCGCUAAUACCGCAUACAACCUACGGGUGAAAGCAGGGGAUCUUCGGACCUUGCGCGAUUGAAUGAGCCGAUGUCGGAUUAGCUAGUUGGCGGGGUAAAGGCCCACCAAGGCGACGAUCCGUAGCUGGUCUGAGAGGAUGAUCAGCCAAACUGGAACUGAGACACGGUCCAGACUCCUACGGGAGGCAGCAGUGGGGAAUAUUGGACAAUGGGCGCAAGCCUGAUCCAGCCAUACCGCGUGGGUGAAGAAGGCCUUCGGGUUGUAAAGCCCUUUUGUUGGGAAAGAAAUCCAUCUGGUUAAUACCCGGGUGGGAUGACGGUACCCAAAGAAUAAGCACCGGCUAACUUCGUGCCAGCAGCCGCAGUAA